GCUUAUCGUGUACACGGAAUGGGAGUCGCUUCUGGGGCAAGCGAACCGUUUUUCCUCCGCUACCCUCUCACCCACCGACACCUCCACCGUCCGCCCCCGCGCCUGGAUCCCGCGAUGGUGCCGCCGGCUCCCGUCCGCCGUCCGCAGAUCCCGUCGCCGGCUCCCGUCUGUGUCCUGCAGAUCCCGCUGCCGCCGCUCGGUUCGCCCUACCUGUGUCCUGCAGAUCCUGCUGCUGCCGCUCGGUUCACCGUGCCCGCCUCCCUGCCGCAGCCAGGCUUGGCCCUCACUGCCGGUCGCCCCUGCCCACCUUCCUCCAACCGUCGCCGCGCCCCUGGGCUUGGCCACCGCACCCCUGGGCUUGGCCCCCUGCUGGCCGCCCCAGCCCGCCUCCCUGUUCAGGCGAAUCCAUGUGAAGGAGAAUCAAUGUUCUCUAUGAUUUGAUUUGCUGAUAUUUUCCUGGCUGCCAUGAGGAGAUUUGAGUGUGAUGUAGAACCCAAUAAUUGCUUGGUUUUUGAAGAUGCAUCAUUGGGUGUUGCAGCAGCAAAAACUGCUGGAAUGCAUGUAGUGAUGGUCCCAGAUGCAAGGUUGGAUGUUUCACAUCACAAAGAAGCUGACCAAGUUCACAGUUCACUACUGGAUUUCAAUCCUAGCUCAUGGGGCUUGCAACCAUUUAAGAAUUAGAAUCUAAUCAUUUAUAAUUUUCAUAUGACAUCUGUGAUAUAUGUGGUGGGCAUCCUAAAAUUCAUCUUUACGAAGAUUCCAAAGGGAAAAGGAAAACUCAGGUCUAGGCUAGUAACAGUAGCAUAGGUAGGCUUUACUGGAGAUUUGUUGCUGCUUCUGCUGGGUCCAGUAUUUUUCAGAAAUCAUCAUUCAUAUACAUUUUUAUUUAUAGAAAACUCAGACUCGUGUUAGAACUAGUUAGAAAAAUACUUUGUUGUUGUACCCAUGAUGGAUGUUUCCAUACUAGACCGAUCUAUCAUAUGAGUUUCAUAUCAUUGUAAUGCAAUUUUUAUUUAACAAACUCCAAAGACAUUAGAAUUA